AUCUAACCUGCCCACUGAAGAAUUAUUUGAAGGGCCGCAGUAUUUUGACUGUGCAAAGGUAGCAUAAUCAUUAGUCUUUUAAUUGAGGGCUGGAAUGAAUGGUUUAACGAGGUAAAUUCUAUUUUAUUUUAAUAGRUUKAAAUUAGAUUUUGAGUAAAAAGACUUAAAUAAUAUUAAGGGACGAGAAGACCCUAUAGAGUUUAAUAUAUGUAAUAUUAAUURAGUUAUUAGUGAAUUUUUGUUUAAUGUAAAAUGUAUUUGGUUGGGGUGAUUAGAGGAUAAAAGUAACUCUUCUUUAUAAUAAAUAWUAUUAUUAGUAUUAGGAUCCAU
rnacentral:rRNA from 1 species